rnacentral:lncRNA from 1 species
UGCUCUCUGGUGCCCACCACCGAUAAAUCUGGUGGUAGCAAAACAUCUAUGCAUUAGUGAACAAAAGCCUCCAGUCAUACGCUUCAGUUAAUCAUGAACAACACAAGUGGGUGAAUUUGUCUGCCUCCAUUAAUCAAUAAAAAAAUAAAAAAUCUAGCAAGCCCAUCGACGAGCCCGUUGAAGCCCAUCAGGGCCGUGUGCCAUCGGUGUCCGCCGGAUUCUUGCCUAC